rnacentral:rRNA from 1 species
UACAGAGGGUGCGAGCGUUAAUCGGAAUUACUGGGCGUAAAGCGCACGUAGGCGGCUUGGUAUGUCGGGUGUGAAAUCCCCGGGCUCAACCUGGGAACUGCAUCCGAAACUGCCUUGCUCGAGUAUGGGAGAGGGAAGUGGAAUUUCCGGUGUAGCGGUGAAAUGCGUAGAUAUCGGGAGGAACAUCAGUGGCGAAGGCGACUUCCUGGACCAAUACUGACGCUCAGGUGCGAAAGCGUGGGGAGCAAACAGG